AGAUCGUUCUUCCUGGAUUGAAGUAAGAAAGGCGAGCUAGAGCGUCGACCGGGUUGAACUGACUACUGAAAUCCGAAGUAAAAAAACGGCCUUUUAAAGAAGCUCGACUGCUCCAAAACGCAGAGAAAAGCCGAAAGAGAGCCAGAGGCUCAAUGGACUUCACGUGAAAAGAUGGAUAAAAACGGACAACAAAUUCAUUCGGGAACUCAAAAAUAUAAUAUUUUUAUUUUUACAUUAUCCUCGUUUUCUAUUUGCCGACUGCAAGACUUUCACCUUGGCCGAAGGCUAAGUUUCCAAGUGGAGUGGCUAUCGCACCUCCGAUGCCCAAACCAAUGCCAAAACCACCUAGGUAAUAAUUUUUCACAAAUCAAAUGCAAUUAAUUUUCGUUCCUCGGUUUGUGUUGUUCAAAUGAAAAACAAAUAGUCAUACCUGGCCCGACGUUAGCAAUUCCGGUUCCUGUUCCGACGGCUUGAUUGCCAAUAACCGCACCGUUCCCGGCUCCUGCAGCAUUGGCUCCACCGAAACCUAUUCGAUAUGGAUUUACAAUUACUUUAGAGUUUAGACGCUGUAGUGACGAAAUUUUAUUUUAGUUAUCUCUGGCAUCACUCCAAAUGAUUUACUUACCACCUUGCGGUCCUAAGAAGCCGCCACCACCAAGAGGAGCUCCACCUGAAAAUCCUCCAGGAGCACCGCCAGCAAACCCGCCACCAGGAGCUCCGCCGAACCCACCCCCAGGAGCUCCGCCGAACCCGCCACCAGGAGCUCCGCCAAACCCGCCACCAUGGGGUCUAUGUUCAUGAUGAUGGUGAUGAUGAUGAUGAUGACCAUGAUGUUGGGGUCUUCCAAAUGCACUUCCCACCAGUGCGACAACCACCAGUAAUAGUAAAAUGAUCUAAGAGAACGAAAUAUUUCUUUUCAAUUAACUUGUAAGGGGUGAUUUCUUCCAUCACAUUUACAUACCUUAUUCAUGAUUGGUUCGUUUUAGAUACGUGAAGAUUUUUCUUGAGCGAGCUGGAGUGUCGACUGGUGUUAACUGGCUACUGAAUAAACCCAAGUCAACAACAACGGCCUUUUAAAGAAGGUCGGCGGCGUGAACAGAGCACAGAGCAGCUGAAAGAGCCAGAGGCUUCAUAGACUUCACGUGAAAACAGUACUACCUUGAUACUGACGUGAUGUGCAUAUAAGGAGUGCCUUCAUUUUUAUUAGUAUAUGCACAACAUACUGAGCACUAGCGCUAUUCGUAAUAUGUCAUCCGGUGCGCUGGUACCUACGAAAAUUCCCUGAUCUCCUUGCUAUGCGUACAUAGCAAUGCGACUUUUAAAAAAACCAAAACAACCAGAAGCAUUCAAAUCAUAUGUAUAUAUUGCCAGACAUAAUAACAAUAAUAAGAAGAAGACUGAAUGCCAAGGUUAACUGGUCAGCAAGAUGCCCGGCAAAAUGUUUCCCGGUAAAUAUUUGGCGUACGUUAUUUCUUUUGUCGAAACAGAAAACAGAAUAUAGAAAGACGAAAUAACGUGACAGAAUUUUCAUGAUUGGACGGAUCAUGAUUCAAAUAUUGAUUUCCUUAUUUGCCAGUGGAUACGCUUUCUCCUUGACCAAUGGCGAAAUUUCCAACGGGGGAAGCAACUGCGGCACCAACACCGAGACCAAUGCCAACGCCACCUGAGAGAAGAUAGAUUACCUUGUUUAGGUGAUGCUGUUAGCAAUUCAAAUUGGUUUCUUACAAGUCUGUCCCGGGAAGGCUGGUGGUGGUGGCCGAUUUCCGCCAAGCUGAAAGUUACCUCCUGGUCUAAAAGGAGUUUGACCACCAAACUGGGGUCGGCCAAAUGCGCAUCCGACCAUAGCGACAACCAA
rnacentral:lncRNA from 1 species